UUCUGCGAAACCUAUAUUAGUAGGUAAUUUAAAUAACAUCUUAGCAGGUACAGAACUGUGAUCUCGAACAAAUAUUUGUAUACAUCGGGGGAUCGUGAAGAUUUUAUCGGAGAGUAUUUGAUCUCGGAAGGGUUAAGAUGAAUUUUAAAUAAUCGGACAUAGUACGAUAAGGUUGUAUGUCUAAAGGGAAACAGCCCUAAACAAGAGUCUAAGGUUCCUAAAUUAUUAUUAAGUGAAAUAAAGGAUGUAUUUUUGUAAACAAUCAGGAAAUAGGCUUAGAAGCGGCCAUUUUUUGAAGAUCUCGUAACAGAGCACUGGUUAAAUUAUAAAGAAAAUUACACCGAAAAUAUAUCGGAUCUAAAUAAUAUACCGAAACCUUGUUCGUUUAUAAUUUACAAUAUAAACGAGGUAGCAGAA
rnacentral:ncRNA from 1 species